CGCGCGUAAAAGGUGAGCCAAACCUGUCCAAGGUUGCGCGCGUUGCUUCCAAGGUUGCUUCUUCUGAAGGUUGCCUGACUACAGAGGAGCCAGAUGCCAGGCGCGCAGCACCCCCCCCCCCCCCCUCUCUCUCUCUCCGGACCGUCGUCACACACUGUGAUCGCAUCUGAGACUCGUUCAUGUCUGUAUUUGCUUCACGUUGAGCCUCACGUACAAUACCUGAAGAUGAAGUUUUGUUCGUUCGGCUCGCGUUACGCAGGUACAGGUGGGCAACUGGAAAAAGGGAACGAGGGGCAACGGUUCUUUGCGUUAAUGGAUGGCGAUCGCCGCUGUUUGCACUGCCAAGCCUCAAUUUGUACAAAUGAUGGAAAAAAUAGUUUGAAAGACUUUUUUUCUUUCUGGGUUUCACACUGUGUUUCUAAGAAUGGCGACAAAUUAGGUGAGGCCAGAUGUUGCUGCCAUAAACUACAGCACUAACUUUGGCAAUGAAAAACGGAGGUGGACUUAAAAUCUUCAGAAAUGUAUUUCGUCGAAAAUGCAUCAGCCCAUUGCUCCAUCUAAGAGAACUAAAGAACUAUGCUAUUAAAUAGACGCAGCUCAACAUGGUUAUUGAGUAUAGUUUCAGCAACUGACGCACCAGGUGUGUGUUGGACAUGUGACCUGAUUUGCAUACAGGUGGAAUGGAAUCGGGCAAGGCUCUAAAAAAAAGAAAAAGAAAAGCAAUUGUAUAGCCUCGGAUCAGAAUGGUGCCUGGCACAUGGAGCCAAAAAAACAUUUAUCUCAACUAAAAUUGAAACAGAACUAAUAAAUAAAAUUUCAUUUAAAGGA